UACGUAGGGGGCAAGCGUUGUCCGGAUUUAUUGGGCGUAAAGCGCUCGCAGGUGGUUCGUCGCGUCGUGCGUGAAAGACCCUGGCUCAACUGGGGGAUGUCGUGCGAUACGGGCGAACUGGAGGCCAGUAGGGGGAUGCGGAAUUCCGGGUGUAGUGGUGGAAUGCGUAGAGAUCCGGAGGAACACCAGCGGCGAAGGCGGCAUCCUGGACUGGUCCUGACACUCAGGAGCGAAAGCGUGGGGAGCGAUCCGG
rnacentral:rRNA from 1 species